rnacentral:rRNA from 1 species
UGUUUGAUGUUCUAACGUUGGCCCCUGAUCGGGGUUGCGGACAGUGUCUGGUGGGUAGUUUGACUGGGGCGGUCUCCUCCUAAAGAGUAACGGAGGAGCACGAAGGUUGGCUAAUCCUGGUCGGACAUCAGGAGGUUAGUGCAAUGGCAUAAGCCAGCUUGACUGCGAGCGUGACGGCGCGAGCAGGUGCGAAAGCAGGUCAUAGUGAUCCGGUGGUUCUGAAUGGAAGGGCCAUCGCUCAACGGAUAAAAGGUACUCCGGGGAUAACAGGCUGAUACCGCCCAAGAGUUCAUAUCGACGGCGGUGUUUGGCACCUCGAUGUCGGCUCAUCACAUCCUGGGGCUGAAGUAGGUCCCAAGGGUAUGGCUGUUCGCCAUUUAAAGUGGUACGCGAGCUGGGUUUAGAACGUCGUGAGACAGUUCGGUCCCUAUCUGCCGUGGGCGCUGGAGAACUGAGGGGGGCUGCUCCUAGUACGAGAGGACCGGAGUGGACGCAUCACUGGUGUUCGGGUUGUCAUGCCAAUGGCACUGCCCGGUAGCUAAAUGCGGAAGAGAUAAGUGCUGAAAGCAUCUAAGCACGAAACUUGCCCCGAGAUGAGUUC